CCCCUCUCAGAAUCGCACUUGGAGAGUUUCCAGUAAUUUACCAGUCUCGACUAUGGGAGGGAGAGUUAAGCAGAGGCAUUUCCAUUCCAUUACUAGCUUGGGGCAGUGGCUAGCGAGUGGAAAACAAUCUGCAACAAGU